UACGGAGGGAGCUAGCGUUGUUCGGAAUUGCUGGGCGUAAAGCGCGCGCAGGCGGCCCUUUAAGUCCGCUGGUCAAAGACCGGGGCUCAACCCCGCGUCAGCCAGGGAUACUGGAGGGCUGGAGACAAGUAGAGGCAAGCGGAAUUCCGGGUGUAGCGGUGGAAUGCGUAGAGAUCCGGAAGAACACCGGAGGCGAAGGCGGCUUGCUGGGCUUGGUCUGACGCUGAGGCGCGAAAGCGUGGGGAGCGAACAGG
rnacentral:rRNA from 1 species